GGCGGCUAUCAUGCAGUCGAGCGGAGGAUGGGAGCUUGCUCCCUGAAGUCAGCGGCGGACGGGUGAGUAACACGUGGGCAACCUGCCUGUAAGACUGGGAUAACUCCGGGAAACCGGGGCUAAUACCGGAUAACUCUUUUCCUCACAUGAGGAAAAGCUGAAAGAUGGUUUCGGCUAUCACUUACAGAUGGGCCCGCGGCGCAUUAGCUAGUUGGUGAGGUAACGGCUCACCAAGGCCACGAUGCGUAGCCGACCUGAGAGGGUGAUCGGCCACACUGGGACUGAGACACGGCCCAGACUCCUACGGGAGGCAGCAGUAGGGAAUCUUCCGCAAUGGACGAAAGUCUGACGGAGCAACGCCGCGUGAGUGAUGAAGGUUUUCGGAUCGUAAAACUCUGUUGUCAGGGAAGAACAAGUACCGGAGUAACUGCCGGUACCUUGACGGUACCUGACCAGAAAGCCACGGCUAACUACGUGCCAGCAGCCGCGGUAAUACGUAGGUGGCAAGCGUUGUCCGGAAUUAUUGGGCGUAAAGCGCGCGCAGGCGGUUCCUUAAGUCUGAUGUGAAAGCCCCCGGCUCAACCGGGGAGGGUCAUUGGAAACUGGGGAACUUGAGUGCAGAAGAGAAGAGUGGAAUUCCACGUGUAGCGGUGAAAUGCGUAGAGAUGUGGAGGAACACCAGUGGCGAAGGCGACUCUUUGGUCUGUAACUGACGCUGAGGCGCGAAAGCGUGGGGGAGCAAACAGGAUUAGAUACCCUGGUAGUCCACGCCGUAAACGAUGAGUGCUAAGUGUUAGAGGGUUUCCGCCCUUUAGUGCUGCAGCAAACGCAUUAAGCACUCCGCCUGGGGAGUACGGGCCGCAAGGCUGAACUCAAGGAAUUGACGGGGGCCCGCACAAGCGGUGGAGCAUGUGUUUAAUUCGAAGCAACGCGAAGAACCC
rnacentral:rRNA from 1 species